GUGAACUCCUGGGUUCCCAGUCUGAGCUUUCCAGGUAUUGAUGCUUCACAGGCACUGCUACAUACUGCUGAGGGAAACAUGUCCUGCGUGACUUUACUGGGAAAAUUCCUAGCAAAAAUUUUGUGCCUGAUUUCCUCUGGACGUGUGCUGAAUAGACUUCCACAAGAGUUGUGCACACACAUUCCUGAAAUCCUUCUCUGCUUCCUGCCCUUGGAAUCUAACUGCCUCAGCCUAGAGGAAUUCUAAUCAUUCCCUGCUCACCCAAGGACCGCUGGCCCUGUUUAUCUUGUCAUUACCUAGAAAUUCCUUCUUAUCAGAAGGCGCAUCUCUUUCAUUGUCCCUUUUCCCCUCGUCCUUCACUACUUAUAGAGGAAUAUUUAAAAGAAACACAGAGGGGAUGAAUUCACUCGAAAAUUGUUGUAUGAAAUUCUCAAGGAGUUAAAACCAUGUUUCAAAAGAACAAAAUGUGGACAGCAUGCUGCCAUUUGCUUAAGGAAGUGAGAUAGAGAAAUGCACCGAAGGAUUUCUGGAGGCGUCCAGGCUGCUUCUUGCUACUUCAGCAGACUGGUGCCCACUGGUGGGGCCUCUCGGGUUCUUCUGGACAGAGCCACUGCUGCUGGUUUGAGUGGAUUGUUGAUAAGGAAGAAUGGAAACACUCCAAAGAAUGACUUCUCAACAGACUCAUCUAAACAGGGAAAUUUAAGAAGCACACGUAAAACAGCCUGGUGAUGUCCGGAUGUUACCAUGCCAUUCACUAGAAAAUGGACUUGGUGACGGUUUUAAAGGUAUUGGAGGGACAGACGAGUCUCCCAGGCUUCCAGUUUGCUUGGGAGUACAAUAAAGUUAUUAAAAAAGGACGUUAUAAUUUGGAAACUAUCAAUAAAAUGCUGUAACAAAUUUAAGAAUU
rnacentral:lncRNA from 1 species